rnacentral:rRNA from 1 species
GACGAACGCUGGCGGCGUGCCUAAUACAUGCAAGUCGAACGCACUCUCGUUUAGAUUGAAGGAGCUUGCUCCUGAUUGAUAAACAUUUGAGUGAGUGGCGGACGGGUGAGUAACACGUGGGUAACCUGCCCUAAAGUGGGGGAUAACAUUUGGAAACAGGUGCUAAUACCGCAUAAAACCUAACACCGCAUGGUGUAGGGUUGAAAGAUGGUUUCGGCUAUCACUUUAGGAUGGACCCGCGGUGCAUUUGUUAGUUGGUGAGGUAAAGGCUCACCAAGACCGUGAUGCAUAGCCGACCUGAGAGGGUAAUCGGCCACACUGGGACUGAGACACGGCCCAGACUCCUACGGGAGGCAGCAGUAGGGAAUCUUCCACAAUGGACGAAAGUCUGAUGGAGCAACGCCGCGUGAGUGAAGAAGGUUUUCGGAUCGUAAAACUCUGUUGUUGGAGAAGAAUGUAUCUGAUAGUAACUGAUCAGGUAGUGACGGUAUCCAACCAGAAAGCCACGGCU